GAGGGACAAUCCACAGCCCCUGGGUCUCUGCGGUUACCGGCCAAAAGUCUGAAAACUUUCCCCAACAACAACGCGGAAAAUGACACUUUGGCUCCAUUUGGUUUUCUUUGCAGUGGCUCUGGAAGGGGCCCGCUCGCAGGUGGUUCUGACCCAGUUGGGGCCAGUCCUGAAGAAGCCCGGAGAGUCCCAUAAACUGCAAUGUGCCACCAGCGGGUUCACUCUUAGCAGCUCCUGGAUGGGCUGGAUCAGACAGGAGCCGGGACAGGGCCUGGAGUGGCUGGUGCGGUAUUACAGUGAGGGAAGCAAGUACUACGCCUCCUCCGUCCAGGGCCGGCUCACAGCCUCCAAGGACAGCACCAGCUUCUCCCUGCAAAUGACCGGCCUGAAAGCGGAGGACCCCGCCGUGUAUUACUGCGCCAGACACACAGCGAGGGGAAGCGAGUCUGAGCUCAGCCAAAAACCUCCCCCUGCAGUAACAGCGCGACGUGUCCGCUGCUGAGGGCGCGAACCAGCCCCCGACUGCCCGGGACAGGCGAUGGGAGCAGCCCGGAGAAAGUCUCCCAGGCUAGAAAUACUUGCAGACUGGUGCAGUUUCAGAAUCGGUUCCACUCACUCCCCCUGGAACUCCUCUGAGCAUCAGACAGGGUGCUGGAAAGAUUUAUUCUCGCUCCCUUUUUCUUCUAUUCCAGACACACAAACAAAACACUGAUGCACACAGAAAAAUACACAAACACACAUACAGGCAAUCACUGCUCCACAAGAACACAAACAGAGACAGCAUGCAAACACACAUACAAACACAUAAAUAUACACAAUCACUCAAAAAACAAAUACACAUCUAAACACAAAAAGCAAGCUCAGACACAAACAAACCCUUCCUUACACAAACAUACACACCUAAACACACAAUCAGAUUAGUAUUUUA